GGCUCAGGAUGAACGCUAGCGGCAGGCCUAAUACAUGCAAGACGAACGGUAAGUUGAGUAGCAAUACUUAGCCAAGAGUGUCGUACGGGUGCGUAACACGUAUGCAACCUACCCUAUACAGGAGGAUAGCCUAGGGAAACCUGGAUUAACCCUUCAUAGUAUUAUUGGAUGGCAUCAUUUGAUAAUUAAAACUGAGGUGGUAUAGGAUGGGCAUGCGUCUGAUUAGUUAGUUGGCGGGGUAAUGGCCCACCAAGACGAUGAUCAGUAGGGGUUCUGAGAGGAAGAUCCCCCACACUGGCACUGAGAUACGGGCCAGACUCCUACGGGAGGCAGCAGUAGGGAAUAUUGGUCAAUGGAUGCAAGUCUGAACCAGCCAUGCCGCGUGCAGGAAGAAGGCCUUCUGGGUUGUAAACUGCUUUUGCCAGGGGAUAAAAUUUCCAUGCGUGGAAAACUGAAGGUACCUGGUGAAUAAGCCACGGCUAACUACGUG
rnacentral:rRNA from 1 species